UAGCCCUGCUAGUUGUGCGGGUUUAGACCCGCAGCGGAAAGCUCAGUAACACGUGGCCAAGCUACCCUGUGGACGGGAAUACUCUCGGGAAACUGAGGCUAAUCCCCGAUAACGCUUUGCUCCUGGAAGGGGCAAAGCCGGAAACGCUCCGGCGCCACAGGAUGCGGCUGCGGUCGAUUAGGUAGACGGUGGGGUAACGGCCCACCGUGCCCAUAAUCGGUACGGGUUGUGAGAGCAAGAGCCCGGAGACGGAAUCUGAGACAAGAUUCCGGGCCCUACGGGGCGCAGCAGGCGCGAAACCUUUACACUGUACGAAAGUGCGAUAAGGGGACUCCGAGUGUGAAGGCAUAGAGCCUUCACUUUUGUACACCGUAAGGUGGUGCACGAAUAAGGACUGGGCAAGACCGGUGCCAGCCGCCGCGGUAAUACCGGCAGUCCGAGUGAUGGCCGAUCUUAUUGGGCCUAAAGCGUCCGUAGCUGGCUGAACAAGUCCGUUGGGAAAUCUGUCCGCUUAACGGGCAGGCGUCCAGCGGAAACUGUUCAGCUUGGGACCGGAAGACCUGAGGGGUACGUCUGGGGUAGGAGUGAAAUCCUGUAAUCCUGGACGGACCGCCGGUGGCGAAAGCGCCUCAGGAGAACGGAUCCGACAGUGAGGGACGAAAGCUAGGGUCUCGAACCGGAUUAGAUACCCGGGUAGUCCUAGCUGUAAACGAUGUCCGCUAGGUGUGGCGCAGGCUACGAGCCUGCGCUGUGCCGUAGGGAAGCCGAGAAGCGGACCGCCUGGGAAGUACGUCUGCAAGGAUGAAACUUAAAGGAAUUGGCGGGGGGAGCACUACAACCGG
rnacentral:rRNA from 1 species